rnacentral:rRNA from 1 species
UGCAUAGGAAUCUGCCUUUUAGUGGGGGAUAACUUGGGGAAACUCAAGCUAAUACCGCAUAAUCUCUACGGAGGAAAGUGGGGGAUCUUCGGACCUCAUGCUGAAAGAUGAGCCUAUGUCAGAUUAGCUUGUUGGUGGGGUAAUGGCCUACCAAGGCGACGAUCUGUAGCUGGUUUGAGAGAACGAUCAGCCACACUGGGACUGAGACACGGCCCAGACUCCUACGGGAGGCAGCAGUGGGGAAUAUUGGACAAUGGGGGCAACCCUGAUCCAGCAAUGCCGCGUGUGUGAAGAAGGCCU